rnacentral:lncRNA from 1 species
CUUCCCUUGGGACAGAGAGGGAAAGCAAGUUGAUAGAAAGAAAUGUCUCUCCCUGAAAGGAACGUGUUAUUUUAAUACUUGUGUGUUUGAGCACUGGGAUGAGUGCAUGGUUGCGGCUGAGGGGGUGAAAGGUGAGGACCCUGGGGGAUCCCCUGCUGCUCUUAGCCAAGGGACCAGUUCUGGGCUAAAGGCAAAUGGCAAUUUAUGGAUUCAGAGCAGGGCAGGGCUAUUUAAAAGUCUGGCAGACAAGACUCCAGAGGAGUGAGUGGACCUGGAAUUUAGCCUAAAGAAGAGAAGGUUGAGGGUGACUUUAAAAGGAACGCUAGAGCCGGAAAUGUCAUUAUAGCAGGAAUGAGGACCAGAUGUUCCCCGUGUCAUCAGAACACACAGCAGAAAUGACCUUACAACAGAGGCAGAACCUUGUGACAGUUGAACACCGAAAUGGGGUGCUCCCAGGCGGUUGUGGAAUUCUCCCCCAGAAAGACCUUUGUCUUCCAUGAGAAUUUGUGUAUAGUUUUGCAGAAAACAUAAAGGGCUUAAGAAACAAUAUAGGGGCUCUUUUCUCUGUGCCCACUGUAUCAUAGCAGAGCAUUGCAGGGAGGUUAGCAAGGGGCUUUGUGGAAGCCUCAGAUCCAAAUCCAGGAUGCCUACAGAUGUAUCUGAACGACCUACACAGCUUAUCUUCCUUUCACUCUUUCCAGUUCCCUUGCAUGUUUACAAAUAUACUGAUUCCGUGACAGGUGAGACAAGCCUUCAGUGAAUCACUUCUGUUGUGACUUUACUGUCUUCAUGUUGGAGACUGGAAGGAUGAUUAUCUAAAGUUUUGAUAUCUUAGUUCUCAGAAAUGGCCCAAAUGUUGUUUUGACACCAUGUAAGAUAUCAAACAAAUUGACAGAAGGUGGGCAGCUACUUUGAAGUUGAAAGCUUUCUUUUUGUUUACUGAAAUGACAAGUCAGAUCUAAAUGUGUCUUUUUAAUUCUUUCAUUUGCUCUAAUAGUUCUACAUGCCAGUCUUAUAAAAAUAUCCAUCCACUGUAAGACAGAAGAACAAACAACCAAACAAAAACUCUAUAGCACCUGGGAAUGCCAUCUCACAGAAAUUUAAACAAACCAACCAUGGGUUGCCCACUGCAAUUCACUGCAGCCUGUCGUUAGUUAGAAUAAGUGGCUUUUAAUUUGUAUCCUUUAUGCUUCAAAUCAAAGCUAACUUAAUUAGUGAAAUGGCCAUGAGAGAAGGGGUUGGCGUCUAAUUACCACUGAUUAUCCCACUGUUCACUGACUAAUGACCUCAGUAAGUAUGAUAGCCGUGAGUUCUGAUCAAACUCAUCUGUGAUUCUUUUAAUCAACUAAAUUGCAUCAAAUUCAAUAAUCUAUUCUAAUUUAAGGAAGUUUUCUUUUUUUAUCCUCUAUGACAAAGAACUGUUAUUCAGGGGAAAGCAAAACCUGCAGAUGCAAAAGUUCACCGUGUCAGCUGUGUUCCCCAAAUUGUAUUCAACCUUUCUUCCCUGAUUGGUGUGAUGACUAAACUUUCUCAGUGGGAUGACACAUCCCCUUGUGGUCAUUUUUUUUUUUGUGUGUGUGUGGUUGCAGCAACUCAGAACCAUUGCACUUACCUAUCAGUCAAUUUUUUAAAAAUGUAUAAAUCAGCAAACUUCUUGAAAGAGAACAGCUGGAAGCUGCCUUAUCCAGUCUUCUUGUUAAGCCCUGUCAGACAAGGUUGACUUUAAGGCUGUCUCAGAGGGUAGCUGCUUCUUCUACUGGUCCAACAAGGUUGAGUUUAAGGCUUCCUUAGAAGGGUUUCUCUGUGAAACAGUCCUGGCUGUCCUGGAAUUCACUCUGUAGACAAGGCUGGCCUGGAAUUCACAGAGGUCUGCCUGCCUCUGCCUCACAAGGGUUGGAAUUAAAGGCAUGUGCCACCGCCACCUGGCUCCAGAUUUCUUUUUUCAACUCAUCACUGUGUUUCUGCCUAAAAGACCCAUCACAAGAAAUAGAUUAUCAUAGAAAAGGAGCAACAUUUACUUAAUCUUAAAAACUAUACUUGUUCUGGGACCGAUCCGCAACGAGGCGAAUGACUCCCUGCUCUUACCCAACUCCCGUCCAAAGCGUCAUUCACCCAGAUCUCCCUGGGCUUGUGCCUGCUUGGAGUCGACAUGCCCAGGCAGGGAGGAGCUCCCUGAAUCUGGGAACAGGCCACUCUACCUUCCCUUUCAGCCAACCAAUCCGCAACGAGAGCCCUCAUCCAGUGGCUGAUAGAAGCAGAGACAGACAUCCACAGAAAUACACCCAGCUGAAAUCUGGAAUUUAGUUGAAGAGAGGGAGGAAUGAAGAUCGAAGGGGUCUGUACCUGGUUGGAGAAACCCACAGAAACAGUUGGCCUGAACAAGGGAGAGCACAUCGACCCCAGAUGCUAUCUGGAAGCCCAGUACAAGACUGAUCCAGCCCCCUGAACAUGGAUGCCAAUAAGGAGACCUCUGCACUCCAGGGAGCCUCUGGAAGUCAAUUAGCAUUUUUCGCUGGUGUAAGAAGGGACUUUGAGAGCUCAUCCCACGUGAAGGGAUACACUCUGGCCCUGGACUCAUGGGGAAGGACCCAGGCCCAGCACAGGAAGAUUUGGUGGACUUUGCAGAGUCCCCG